GCAUUGGUAGUUCAGUGGUAGAAUUUUCAUCUCCCAUGUGGGAGACCUGGUUUUGAUUUCCAGUCAGUGAA
rnacentral:tRNA from 1 species